GACGAACGCUGGCGGCGUGCUUAACACAUGCAAGUCGAACGGAAAGGCCCUGCUUUUGUGGGGUGCUCGAGUGGCGAACGGGUGAGUAACACAUGAGUAACCUGCCCUUGACUUUGGGAUAACUUCAGGAAACUGGGGCUAAUACCGGAUAGGAGCUCCUGCUGCAUGGUGGGGGUUGGAAAGUUUCGGCGGUUGGGGAUGGACUCGCGGCUUAUCAGCUUGUUGGUGGGGUAGUGGCUUACCAAGGCUUUGACGGGUAGCCGGCCUGAGAGGGUGACCGGCCACAUUGGGACUGAGAUACGGCCCAGACUCCUACGGGAGGCAGCAGUGGGGAAUAUUGCACAAUGGGCGGAAGCCUGAUGCAGCAACGCCGCGUGCGGGAUGACGGCCUUCGGGUUGUAAACCGCUUUCGCCUGUGACGAAGCGUGAGUGACGGUAAUGGGUAAAGAAGCACCGGCUAACUACGUGCCAGCAGCCGCGGUGAUACGUAGGGUGCGAGCGUUGUCCGGAUUUAUUGGGCGUAAAGGGCUCGUAGGUGGUUGAUCGCGUCGGAAGUGUAAUCUUGGGGCUUAACCCUGAGCGUGCUUUCGAUACGGGUUGACUUGAGGAAGGUAGGGGAGAAAUGGAAUUCCUGGUGGAGCGGUGGAAUGCGCAGAUAUCAGGAGGAACACCAGUGGCGAAGGCGGUUCUCUGGGCCUUUCCUGACGCUGAGGAGCGAAAGCGUGGGGAGCGAACAGGCUUAGAUACCCUGGUAGUCCACGCUGUAAACGGUGGGUACUAGGUGUGGGGUCCAUUCCACGGGUUCCGUGCCGUAGCUAACGCUUUAAGUACCCCGCCUGGGGAGUACGGCCGCAAGGCUAAAACUCAAAGGAAUUGACGGGGCCCCGCACAAGCGGCGGAGCAUGCGGAUUAAUUCGAUGCAACGCGUAGAACCUUACCUGGGUUUGACAUGGAUCGGGAGUGCUCAGAGAUGGGUGUGCCUCUUUUGGGGUCGGUUCACAGGUGGUGCAUGCCUGUCGUCAGCUCGUGUCGUGAGAUGUUGGGUUAAGUCCCGCAACGAGCGCAACCCUUGUUCACUGUUGCCAGCACGUUAUGGUGGGGACUCAGUGGAGACCGCCGGGGUCAACUCGGAGGAAGGUGGGGAUGACGUCAAGUCCUCAUGCCCCUUAUGUCCAGGGCUUCACGCAUGCUACAAUGGCUGGUACAGAGAGUGGCGAGCCUGUGAGGGUGAGCGAAUCUCGGAAAGCCGGUCUCAGUUCGGAUUGAGGUCUGCAACUCGACCUCAUGAAGUCGGAGUCGCUAGUAAUCGCAGAUCAGCAACGCUGCGGUGAAUACGUUCCCGGG
rnacentral:rRNA from 1 species